ACCUGGCUGGCUCAGUCAGUAGAGCAUGUGACUCUUGAUCUUGGGGUCAUGAGUUCAAGCCCCACGUCGGGUG
rnacentral:tRNA from 1 species